AACAGGAUUAGAUACCCUGGUAGUCCACGCCCUAAACGAUGUCUACUAGUUGUCGGGUUUUAAUUAACUUGGUAACGCAGCUAACGCGUGAAGUAGACCGCCUGGGGAGUACGGUCGCAAGAUUAAAACUCAAAGGAAUUGACGGGGACCCGCACAAGCGGUGGAUGAUGUGGAUUAAUUCGAUGCAACGCGAAAAACCUUACCUACCCUUGACAUGUCAGGAACCUCGAAGAGAUUUGAGGGUGCUCGAAAGAGAGCCUGAACACAGGUGCUGCAUGGCUGUCGUCAGCUCGUGUCGUGAGAUGUUGGGUUAAGUCCCGCAACGAGCGCAACCCUUGUCAUUAGUUGCUACGCAAGAGCACUCUAAUGAGACUGCCGGUGACAAACCGGAGGAAGGUGGGGAUGACGUCAAGUCCUCAUGGCCCUUAUGGGUAGGGCUUCACACGUCAUACAAUGGUACAUACAGAGGGCCGCCAACCCGCGAGGGGGAGCUAAUCCCAGAAAGUGUAUCGUAGUCCGGAUUGUAGUCUGCAACUCGACUACAUGAAGUUGGAAUCGCUAGUAAUCGCGGAUCAGCAUGUCGCGGUGAAUACGUUCCCGGGUCUUGUACACACCGCCCGUCACACCAUGGGAGCGGGUUUUACCAGAAGUAGGUAGCUUAACCGCAAGGAGGGCGCUUACCACGGUAGGAUUCGUGACUGGGGUGAAGUCGUAACAAGGUAACC
rnacentral:rRNA from 1 species